rnacentral:misc_RNA from 1 species
AAGUCGUAACAAGGUUUCCGUAGGUGAACCUGCGGAAGGAUCAUCAACAAAUCAAUAAGAAUGUGUGUAUGCUCGUCAUACAUGCAUUUUAACCCAUGUGAAUAGCUAUUAGAAGAAUAAUACUUUUCUGUAGCAUAUAUAUAAACGAGUCAAACGAGUCAGUUAAUAAAAGUAAUUUAUUACAACUUUUAACAAUGGAUCUCUAGGCUCUU